rnacentral:rRNA from 1 species
GAAUUCGAUUCAGGCCUAACACAUGCAAGUCGCACGGUCAGCAAUGGCAGUGGCGGACGGGUGAGUAACACGUAGGAAUCUAUCCCAGGGUGGGGGACAACAGCGGGAAACUGCUGCUAAUACCGCAUGAUACCUGAGGGUCAAAGGCGCAAGUCGCCUUGGGAGGAGCCUGCGUCUGAUUAGCUAGUUGGUGGGGUAAAGGCCUACCAAGGCGACGAUCAGUAGCUGGUCUGAGAGGAUGAUCAGCCACAUUGGGACUGAGACACGGCCCAAACUCCUACGGGAGGCAGCAGUGGGGAAUAUUGGGCAAUGGGGGAAACCCUGAUCCAGCAAUGCCGCGUGUGUGAAGAAGGUCUUCGGAUUGUAAAGCACUUUUGGCAGGGACGAUGAUGACGGUACCUGCAGAAUAAGCCCCGGCUAACUUCGUGCCAGCAGCCGCGGUAAUACGAAGGGGGCUAGCGUUGCUCGGAAUGACUGGGCGUAAAGGGCGCGUAGGCGGCAUGUACAGUCAGAAGUGAAAUUCCUGGGCUCAACCUGGGGACUGCUUUUGAUACGUGCAAGCUAGAGUGAGGAAGAGGGUUGUGGAAUUUCCAGUGUAGAGGUGAAAUUCGUAGAUAUUGGAAAGAACACCGGUGGCGAAGGCGGCAACCUGGUCCUUUACUGACGCUGAGGCGCGAAAGCGUGGGGAGCAAACAGGAUUAGAUACCCUGGUAGUCCACGCUGUAAACGAUGUGUGCUGGAUGUUGGGAAACUUAGUUUUUCAGUGUCGUAGCUAACGCGAUAAGCACACCGCCUGGGGAGUACGGCCGCAAGGUUGAAACUCAAAGGGAUUGACGGGGGCCCGCACAAGCGGUGGGGCAU